CAUGAGGCAUGUGGGAUCUUAGCUCCCCGACCAGGGAUCGAACCUGCACCCCCUGCAUUGGAAGGUGAAGUCUUAACCACUGGACCGGAUGCCUGGCUUCUUGAUUGUGGCAUGUCUUAUGAGGGGACAGGGGGCCGUGGUUAAUCCAGGAACCCGAUCAGGUGGAGCUGUGGUGGAGGAGGUGAGGGGGUGUCUGAGAAAACAUGAUGAAAAGGAAAUACUGAUACAUUCAGGUUGAGAAUAGAGGUUCUGAGGAGUUAUAAUAUUUUAUUUUUCAUUUUACAUUAUUACAUAACCCACAAUAUGACAAAUGAAAUGCAUUUUACUCUUUUUGGUGACAGUUCCGUUGAGUUCCUUCUCUGGCCCAGUCUUCGUAUCUGGGAGAAAAUGAGCAUUUUCUGGGUAUUUGUAGGUAUAAUCUGGAUAAAGGCAGAAAAAGGAAUUGUUUUCAGAAGUAUUAUGACAAUAUAUAAAGCAUAGUAAAGGGAUGUAAUCUCAGAAAAUAUUCAAAGCCUACCUCUACUUCCAAAGUGACCCUGUGGAACUUUGGCAGGAUCCCACAGAAGCCUGGGCUUCUUGCAGUGGAGCUUGAAAACCCUGCUGUAGGAAGGAGGGACCCAGCCCUGGGCGUGUGGGGGAGAAAGGAAAGCUGAGUAAUUCCUAACUCUAAGGGCACAUUCUUCCCAACUCCAUCAUAGCUUUGCUACAUCUCGGAGCUGUUGGCCUGUGGGUCUGAUAACUGAGGUACUGAGAGAAGAGGACCUGCCCUCCUCUACUCCCUUCCCUUGUCACCCAGUGUCAACACUGUCUCAUUUCAUUUGUGUUCAGUAUGUGUUUGUUGAAUUAAAUUCUUGAAAGCAUCCAAACGGAACUCAAAGAGCUUUGGGGAUUCAGAGGGGUGAGACUUUCUAAGGGGUUAUUUCUGCUUGGGAAAUGGGGCGACACUUCAUGAGAGGGAAGGAUACUGAGCUGAGCUUUGAAGAAUGAAGAGGGGCUGUAGACAAGGUUGGAUUUGAGAGAGGAGGUUGAAAAGGCACAAGGCAACAAGGACAAAGCAUGCUUGGAGAUCGCGGUGGUACUUGUUUGGCCGAGCCUGUGGGAAAUAAAGGGAGAGAGUUAAGCAGAGGUGGAAGUGAGGCGAUUCCUGCAUGCUAGAGCCAGAGACGGUCACAGGCAAUGCGGACGACGAGUGAUUUGGAACAGAGGUGUGCCUGGGCCAAAGGGCAGUCUGGUGGCAGCACAUAGGCUGGCUUGGACAAAUGAUUGGCUGAAGCCAAGGGAAUGGGUUGGGGGGGCUGGUACAGGAGGUCUGGGCAGGAGGUGAGGAGGGCCAGACAGACAGGGCUGGUAGAGCACAUGGGAAGUAAGGAGCAGCUAAUGCUCAAAGAAAGAAAAACAGGUAUAAUAUUAGUUACAGAUGGGCUGAGGGGUGCAGCUGGAGAGAGAUGGCUGAGGUUUGUAAGACCAGUGACAAGGAGUAAGAGGGUGCCAUGAGUGGAAAAAGAAGCUGGUGUGUGUGAGCACAUAAUGAGCUGUAUUUUUUGCUGGAUUUGAGGUGCUGUGGGGACAUCUAAGUGGAAACAUCCCACAGCUGGAAAUUUGGAACUGGAAGCCAGGAAAGAAGUUGGAACUAGAGCAACAGAUUCAGGAGACAAGAGCCUGGAAGUGAGCCCUGGGUGUGCACUGGCCCCAGAGGGAAGCUGCGUGGAGCAAGAGAAGACAGGAUUUGGUGAAGAUAUGCAGAAGCCAUCUCUGAGAAGACUUACAAGGUACUAGAGAAUCAUGAAAUCUGAAAUGAAUCCUGAGGCGUGUGAUGUCAGAAAGAUGGCAGAAUAGGAAAUUUCUACUGUCAUCCCCUCACAGAAUGUUGAUUUGACAAUCACGCAUGGACAAAAGUACCUUUUUGGGAGUCCAGGAGUCCAGCGGAGAAGGUCCAACAGAAAAAUCUGAGCCUGGAUGCAUUGAAAAGGCGCCCAGAGGUUCAUUGUCUUCUGUGCAUCUGGACCCAACCAGCCAGGUGCGGGUUUUCUGCCUGCCACUGCUGCCAGAACAGCUCCAUCCCCCAUAAGAACAGGGCACCCCGGAGGCCCCCUCAGAAUGUCUGCUCUUGGAAGAAUCGUCUGCAGCUUUAUCCUGCAUCUCCUGUAACGCUCCAUCCUCUCCACACUUCUGCUCUCUUCACGACAUGCCAUGGAGCAAAGCAGGUCUCUGUGAAGAGUCUGGUCCGAUUAUUAUACGGAAGUAGUGGUGUGCUGGUGAAUGUUUAACAACCAGCUUUCCAGGAAAAAAAAAGCCCUCAUCUGCAGAGUUUGCCAGUUUCCAUGGUGUAAAUACUCCCACCACGUCGGUUCCAGGCUCCAGCCUCCAUCACUGAGCCGAGUUGCAAGAGAUACGGCUGGGGAGAGGAUGUGAGCCGGCUGAAGCAGGUCCCGGUCUAAGACCUCUUGCUGAGGGGACCCCAGGGGACAGAGCCCGCAAGCUGGGGACUGAGGGUCGUCGUGGAGCCGUUCAGAGGCAGGGCAGGUUCUCUGGAAACAGGCUCGGAGAUGGAAUGGGCAGGAGGCGGCGUUGGGCAGGGAGAGGAGGGAGAAGCCAACUGUUGUCCUCAGAGUUGUCCUGUGUCCUGUGUCCCAGGCUGAGACAGUUGGGCCGGGGCCAGCCUCAGGAUGGACCCCGAAGUUGCUGGCAGUGGGGCUUCUCUGCUGACAUGCUCCCCUUCUUCAAAGGGAGACCAGGCGGGGUGGGUGUCUGAGUCCUUCAAAGGGGACUCAGACACCACCCGUCGGAGCGUGAGCCCCUCCACGAGGCUGGGCUCGGCCUUCAGCUGGACCUCUGUCAGCCCGUGCCUGUCCGCAGACGAUCUCCUGGAGCAGCCUGCCCCUCAGCUGGGCCCCGCCUGUCCCCAUCCUCGGGCUCAGCCCCGCAGCCUCCUUCCUGAAUCCCACGCAGGUGCCACUCUGCUUGGCCAGGCCUGGACGUUCCCACUACAUCUUCCCCGGGCGUCCGACCGCAGCUGCUUCGGGGUUCUGGCCUCGCUCCUCAGUGCUGGCAGCUUGUGGUGAGGCUGUCCUGCUGGGCAGACAGGGCGGACCCUGGGCUCGGGCUCUGUGCGGGGGACUCGGGCCUGCUCUGUGCAUGGGUGGGGCAGGCGAAGGAAGCCACCCCACCUGUCCAAACCAGACUGAGGAGAAGAAGCAGAUUUGGCCCGACACCACGGGAGCCGGAGUGACCGCAGAGCUCUGUGGUUUACCCUGAUUUUCUUACAGGACACGGUGACAUGCAGGCAGUACUGACGUCCCAGAGUCCCACGGCUGGUUAGGGACAGAGCAGGGACCAGAGCUUGGCCCAGAGCCAUGUCUGUGCAUCCUGCUUCCUGAAGCCCGAGUGUCUCCUGAGCCGUAGUCCCCUUCCCUCCCCUAGACAGUGUGUGUGUUUAGAAAUGGCCUCGUUAGCAGAUUUUAUAUGCACCUUCGUUAGCUCCUCCGAGAGUUCGCCCCGUUCUGGCAGGUGGCCUGUUUGAGGAGGAAUUAGCCUGCCUGCCAGCUGCGUGUUGGAUUUACAUGCGAGCUGGGCCACGGGGAAAUCAUCUGGAAUAGCUAAGGGGCUCACCAGACUCCUCAGCCUACAGGGCAGAUGCGCCGCGAGCAUGUUUUCUGCCUUACGGCGUGUCUGGGCCUCAGCCUGUGUCCCUGGGGAGGCAGCCCCUGCGGGGCCUCCAAGAAUUUUUCUUCUGGCCCAGGCCCCGUGGGUCUUGCCCCCCCGACUUGUACAGGCCCCAUGGGUCUCGCCCCCCGACUUGUAUUUGCUACUUCAUCCUCUUUUAGCAAAUAUUGUACCUAAAAGAAUGAAGUAAUUUGCAUAUAGUAUUUAGUUAUUUUUGAACUUUCUGGUUUUUCUCUGUGAUAGUUUAUUUUACAGAUAACACAUAUUUCUUAUCUUUCUAAUGUAUUCUUUUUGGUAAUUUUAAUCUAUUUAUUUAAGCGAUUUCCCCAUCAGUGAUGAGUAAGAGGUCCAGGCUCCAUGUGGGGAGGGGAAGGGAUGUCCAUCUGCUGCUGCAGACCAUGCCCUAAGCGGGAGGCUGUGGGAUUCUGGGCACCCCCAGCUGUGCCAGGCCUCUCAACUCUGCUUCAUUGAAUUCUCCUUCUCUUUUUUAGGCAAAUGCUUUGAUUCAAAAACAGCCAGCAGUGAUGGGUUGGCAAAGCCUCCUCAGCCUACACAUAGCGGGUACAAAACAGUUAAAUACCCCAACUGGGGAGUGGACGAGAGGUGCAGGGAGGUGUCAGAUGAGAAGUAUCAGUGAGUCAGGGAAGCCUGAGGAAUGGUAGGAAGUUGUUUUGUUGUCAGCGACAGCAACCAAACGGGAAGUUUCUUUCUUCCCACCAAAAUGCAAGAGUCAUAUAUCAACACCCACCCCCACUCCCAAAUCACAGGACAAAACGAAGCCUGUGAAUAGAGACGCCAUCUCCCAGCUAACAAGCCGCUGCAGUUGGACUGGCUGGACCGCGGAGGAGCCGGCCCCUGGAAAGGAGGAGAAGCGCUGUGCAUUUCAACAUCGUACAGGUCUUGCUUUCACCAGAACCUAGAAAGAUAGUUGAUGGAAACGCGGCACUUAAAAAUGGAGCUUUGAAGAAUGGCAGGCAAUGAAAUGAAAGGUACCCUGUGACUGCUGUUAAAAAUCCCUAUUCAGAGAAGCACCAGACAGUAGGAAAGGAGCGAUGUACCUGAGCCACACCAAGACAGAGGCGUUUACCCCAGCCGGGUCCAGUCUCCUAGUGAGGAGAAUUAACCGUUAGUAACAGAACUCUACUGUGUGUGAAUUGUAGCCUGAUACGUGAAGAAUUAUGCUUAAGUUAGCCCUUUAGUCAAUUGUAUGCUUUUCUCAUUCUUUCCUGUAUAGGUUCAAUCAUUCUUAGCGCUUUAUUUUGGGAAAGAGCCUGUAUUAGUCUGCUAGGGCUGCUGUAACAAAGACCAUAGCCUAGGGGCCUUAAACCACAGAAAUUGAUGUUCUCACAAUCUGGAGGCUGGAAGUCCAAGAUCAAGGUGUCACAGGGUGGUUUCUCCUGAGGCCUCUGACCUUGGCUGGGAGAUGCCACCUCCUCCCUGUGUCCUCACACGGUUGUCCCUCUGUGUGUCUGUGUCCUAAUCUCUUCUUCUUAUAAGGACACCAGUCUGAUUGGAUUAAGGCCCACCUAACUGAACUCUGACCUUUACAGAGGUAACCUAAUUACCUCUGUAAAGAUCCUGUUUCCUGCUAUGGUUAUGUUCUGAGGUGUUGGGGGUUAGGGCUUCAACACAUGAAUGUGGGGGAACAUAAUUCAACUCAUAAUAGGACAUUUCUGGACAUUGUUAAGAAUGGGUACCUGGUCUGGCUAUGCCCAAGUGACAAUUUCUGACAAAAUUCUGGAGUCCAGGCUGUGUAGAACAGAUAAGUUAAUGCCCCUUAAAGAAUACUGCCUUAUCAAAGCUUAUUCCUUUCCAAACCUAAAUCCAUUAACUUAGAUACACCAGAGGACACAAAGACCGAAGCUCCUCCCAAUUGGGUAAUGGGCUUAGUGAUGGUACAACAUGACUGUGCUUCUUACACCUCCCACCGUCCAGUCCUGCAAUGAGGAGAUGUAUGGUCCAAACCCACUGUCUCCAUUCUCUGACCUCAAAUUCAUGCUCGAUAUGAAUAUUUGUCAGAUUUAACUAUGACAUUCUCUGUGCAGAGGCUGGGUUUUCCACGCCUGAUCCUGUGAUCAGUGUCACGGCUGAUCCUGUGAAGGAGCUGGCACCUGGCGUUAGAGCUCCCGGGUGUGAUUGUGUCAUGGAAGUGAGGUUGCAGAUCUUGCUAGAAUGAUCUCCAAUAUCCAUUCUCUUCUUCUCAGUACUAACAGAAUCCAAUUUUAUUUGGGUUUAGUAGUAUGCCCACUUAUAAAAGCUACACCUCGGAUCCUCCCAUCCUAGGUAAGAAUGACGAUGUAAUAUAGUUAUGGCUAAUGAGGUAUAAAUGGAGGGUAUAAGGUGAGCUUCCGGUUUUCAGAAAAGCAGUUUAAAGGGAGCUAGCUACCUAAGGCAGUCUGCUCCUUUUGCUCUUUGCCCUUCAUCCUUCUUCCUGUCUAGAACACGGAUGUGAUGGCUGGAGUCCCAGCAGCCAUCUUAUAAGCAUGAGCGUGGAGAUAGUAGAGUGGAAAUCUAUACAGGACCUGGGUUCCUCAUGAAUUGGGGAACUAUUACGCCAGCUCUCGCCCACCCUCCUCUGAUUUCUCUUCUUGAGAGAGAAAAACAAGGCCCCAGGGCUGCUGGUAUCUGCAGUGGCUCCUCCUGGACCACAGUGUAAAGUGUCCUCCCUGGCGUAAGCCACCCAAUGGUCCUGUAAACCCUUACCUUGUUUAAGCCAGCAUUUUGGGGCUCUCUUCCCUACCACCAAAUGUUAUGGGUAACCAGUGCAGGUGGGUACAGUGAUUAGAAUCAUCCCCUUGUUCUCCCUGGAUGUGUACAGAGCAUCUUCUGAAAACCUCUGUGAAAUCCUCCUUUAGGUAUGAGUACUCCCAGAAAAAAGCUGAGGUUUACCUGGGUUCACACACACCUCCAUCACUGGUUAGCUGUGUGACCUCAGGUAAACUGCUUCACCUCUGAGCCUCACUUUGUCGAGUGCUAUCUCUCAGGAUCAUUGUGAGGACCAGGGAGAUAUGUACGUAAAACACCUGGCUCUGUCCUUGCACUCAGCAGAUGGCCCUCCUGUUGUGACGACAUCCCUUGUCCCCUCUAGAGGACGACUCACAUCCAGGUGUCCAGGUCUGACUUUUCCUUUGGGUGCUCUUCCUGCGUCUCUCUCUAGCUUCCUGCAGGACAUUUCCAGUUAGCUCUCCUGUGUCCCUUCCAAUCCAGUCCCCAACCACCCUCUCUCUGACGAUAAUCACUGUCUAUCCUGUAUCUCAUCCUGUAUCCUGCCUGUUCGUUCAACUUGACACUCCAUGUCACGCCGUGGACCAUGCCACAGCACACCAGACCACACCAUAGCACGCCACACUGUGUGAACCCACCCCAGGGACACUAUACCACACCACACCAUGACACCUCACAUCCUGCUGCCCCAUGCCAUUCUAUACGGUGCCACAGCACACCACGCCCUACCACAGCCUAGCCCAGACGGAAAUUCAGCCUUUUUGGUAGCUUUCAUAACUCCCUCUGCCUUCACGGAAAAAAAACUCACCAAGGCCUUUGCGUGGGUAGCAGACUGUACCGAAGAUUUGGGGGGACAGAACAAUUUUUGUUCCAUAGAGGUUUCAUAUUAAAAAAAAAAAAUUGCUCAAGUGUUUCAUUACUUGUAACGUUUCUGGAAGCUUCUCAAGAGUCUGCCUUUCUGGCCCUUCUCACCUUGGUCUUCUGUGGGUGUACCAUCAGUUCCUCUAAUCUUUCCUGGUCAGUGAUUUUUGGGGCCCUUGAUGAACUCUUUGAUCUCCUCCUGGGGAGCUGGUGCAGUCACCAUCACUCAUUGCCUAGAUAAUGAAAUUCCCGGCUUUAUUCCCAGCCCCAAACUCCUAAAAUCAUUCAGAUUCCUGUGGAAGGAAUCAUUCCUUCCACAGUUUCACCAAGUGCAUCGGCUGUCCGUGGGACCUGAGGUCUGCUAGGAAAGAGGCGACCCUCGCGUCCCCCUCCUGCUUACACAAGCGCUUGUGCUCACACAGUGAUGUGUGCAGGGUAAAGCCAGCAUGCUUGGCUCCAGCUACCGCCCAAAGCCCCCUUGUCCACCCCGCUCGAUUUUCCUGUAAGACUGAGGUAGAGCGACUUUUUCCCAUUACACAUACGAAAAUCACAGUGUCUUCAGUGACUGGCAGACUCAACUGCUUCUUCCCAAGGUGGGAAAUUCUCUUCGCCACCCACUCAUUUGCCGUUAAACGCCAUGGGUUGGUGGUAGGAGAGAGAAGACAUUUACAGAGCAGCGGGGAGCCUCCGGGUGUGUGAGGCCAGCGCCCCCCCACCUCCCUACCCCCCCUUCCCAGCUCCACGUCCUGCGCCUGGAGCAGUGAAGCUGGGUCCCUGAGCAGCAGACUAGCCAGGUCCCCCCUGAUGCUGAUAGAUUUCGAUCUAUUUCCCAUUGUAUUGACUUCUUCCUACAAGGCACCUCCCCGUCAUGCUGUCAGGAGCCUGAGGGUGCUGCCUGACUGUGGAACUGUGAAAAAAGGGGGAGAGCUCAGUUGUCUGUAAUCUCACAAUAGGAGAAACUCCCUCAGGACACGUGGUGAUGUCAUCGAGAGGCACAUAAAGGAGAGGCUCAUGUCUGGGGCAGGCCCAGGGUUGACGGGGAGAGAAACCCAGGCUCCCAGAUUCUCAAGACAGGCGGCCGUUCACUGACAGCCAGACGACCCCGAAUCCAGGUGUUACCGACCAGAUCUCCCCGCAGACCUGCCAGAGAGUCGGUCCUGCCAGUCCCAAGAGGGGAGGGG